rnacentral:pre_miRNA from 10 species
GAGGUUGCUCUUCAAUGACACGUUUUCUCCCGGAUUGCGAAACGCACGAGCGGCAACCGGGAAUCUCGUGUCAGCUAAGAAUGACGUCA